UCAAUUUCUCUUGAAAUUGUUAAACAAUUACAUUUAAAAAAAAAUGUAAUUAAGAAAAAUGUAAAUCCAAAUGGUCCGGAUUGUAUUGAUGUUGCCCUACAGCACUGUAUACAGUAUAAAUCCAGACUCCCAGAUGAGAUAGUUCCCUAGUUAUUUUCUAGUCAAUUUCAAGUCGUGACUAAAACCAAAGAGAUUAGGGAGAUCAUUAUUAGGGUCCAUCAAGGAGAGAGAGAGAGAGAGAGAGUUACACAUUGUGGCUACUCACAAGAUGGGCAAAGACAAUAACAUCACAGUCAAUUGUUGUCAAGUGCAAGUGACCAUCUUCAAAAGCUACUGGCAUUUUCAAACUAUGCAAGAGCACUCUGGGAAACCAAAAGGGACCUCUGCACUGGAAAGAAUGGUAGUAGUAUGGUAAGUUAGGUAGAAUCACCACUAAGGAUGACUACCAAGGCCUUCCUGAUGAAUGUGAGCACCCCCGCCCCCCUUCCCUGCUCCUUCCCCCACCUACUGAGUUGCAGCGCUGUUCAGACAGAGGGGGUGUGGGGGGGUGUGGGGCAGCAGAACGAUGAGGACAUUCUUGAACCCAGACUAUCAGUAUUUUCUAGGCCUGACUGUCACAGUUGUUUCUGCUUAGCUUUUUGGGAAAACUACGUUCACGAGGUUUGAUGUCAGAACAAAUAUUGAUAGAUAGUUACCCACGUCACACUGCCAUAGGGCUUUCUCCCAGUGGGGUGACUAGUCCUUUACAUGUGUACACACAUGAUCUAUCACUGCCUCUGUCUUUGUUUAUUUUCUGAGACCUGGAAUAAGCCCUACAUGAGCAGUGUACUGACGCACCACAUGUCACAAGACAUUAAUCCUCCUUUGCUGUGUUGCGCAUUAUGUUCCAACACGACGGGCCAACAUUUGUUGGUAUGAAUCACAUUGUUGUUUGCAGUGUAUCAUUAUGCUUGAGUUAUUUUAAUGUUUCUCAGCAGCGCAAGAACCAGCAUUGAAGAAUGAAAGCUAUGAAAGCUGCUGGAAAAGUGGAUAUAAUACAAAUGAUAAAAGCUGUGUCCCAUUGAAAUUACUACAUUUUAUACACUCAACAAAAAUAUAAACACAACACUUUUGUUUUUGCUCCCAUUUUUUAUGAGAUGAACUCAAAGAUCUAAAACUUUUUCCACAUACACAAUAUCACCAUUUCUCGCAAAUAUUGUUCACAAAUCUGUCUAAAUGUGUGAUAGUGAGCACUUCUCCUUUGCUGAGAUAAUCCAUCCCACCUCACAGGUGUGCCAUAUCAAGAUGCUGAUUAGACACCAUGAUUAGUGCACAGGUGUGCUUAGACUGCCCACAAUAAAGGGACACUCUGAAAGGUGCAGAUUUGUUUUUAAUGGCUGUGCGAAGUUGCUGGUUAUUGGCAGGAACUGGUACACGCUGUCGUAUACGCCGAUCCAGAGCAUCCCAAACAUGCUCAAUGGGUGACAUGUCCGGUGAAUAUGCUGGCCAUGCAAGAACUGGGACGUUUUCAGCUUCCAAGAAUUGUGUACAGAUCCUUGCAACAUGGGGCCGUGCAUUAUCCUGCUGCAACAUGAGGUGAUGUUCUUGGAUGUAUGGCACAACAACGGGCCUCAGGAUCUCGUCACGGUAUCUCUGUGCAUUCAAAAUGCCAUCAAUAAAAUGCACCUGUGUUCUUGGUCCAUAAUAAUUAUAUAUUCUCAUCACUGCUCUAACCAAAAAUCUACUGCUUUUCUUUAUUCUGUGAUCUGGACAUUGCACUGCAUCGAAGAACAGCGUGCCUUGAAGGUCUGCCCAUAUUUGUUUGGGACUAUUCAGACAAACUAUUCCUGACAUGCCUGAUGAGGAGCCAGAGCGUCCCAAGAAGAAGUCAGCCAUGGACCAGUUGCUUGGAGGUUUCGUUGCUCCCAGAGCACCAGAGAAGACCAUAAGAGGGAGAGAGCUAAGGAGGAAAUAACAAAAUACAGGCUUCAUGAGGUCUCCUGGAUGAUCUCCUGGAUGGUUUUCCAACAGCUUUGGAGGACUUCCCAGAGGUGCUGAAGAGCUGAUGGACACGUAUGCCCACUUUGCAGGCGUUGAGGUGGAUGUAAGUGUCUCUCUGAUCUACUGUGUAGUGUGCACAGGUCUAACCCUACAGUCUGCUAGAACUGUCACUUUUACUGUCUCUGUCUUCCUUGUUUAAACAGUAUAAAUCUAGUUUGUCCUUUAAACUUUAAGUGAAUUUUAAGAAAACGUUGAAACUAUGGCUGGCUGCGUUCCAAUAUUUUCAUAUAUAUAUGACACCAGAAACAGAUUUUGUCUGUCCUGAUACACAGCAUGUUAAAUGUAGUUUACUAAAACCAGGAUUUCUGCUGUAUGUGGAGGGAUUCUGAAGUGUGCAGCCAACAUGCUUUCUGUCCAUUCUGAGCCACAAUCCUCUGCACAGCUACUACAGCUGCAGUAUCAACAAGCCUAGAGAGCAAACAGAUGACAGCCCAUUUUACUCUGCAGACGAUGAAUGUUGAAGUGAUUAUUAAUUGUGUCUGUGCUGCAUGAAACAAUCAGGACUUUGUGAGGGCAGCUGGAGUUCAGACUGGAAGCAAAAAGAAGGAAGUGAUUUGGAAUUUGACAGCAUGUGGACAGAACAUGUUGCAUUCAGAUGAUGUACAUGAUGAGUGUUCAGUUUACUCAGAUGUUAAAAUGUUCAGGCAAGCUGCAGUUUAUUAGUCUGACUUGGACUGAUAGACUUGCUCUGAUAGUGGCAGUCAACAGUGAAGAGAUGUUAAAUAUGAACUCUCCUCCAAGCUGUUGGAUCCAUUAUUGUAGUGAAGAGUUGGUUUCCAGCACUCGGCCUGCCACUGACUUCCUGAUUGGUUGAAAAGUUUUGAAGCUUCCUCAUGCUGCAGACAUUCAUCCAGGUGUGUCACCUGUGCUGCAGCCAGUAUCUACAGGUGCUGCUCAUAUUAGAUGUUG